rnacentral:rRNA from 1 species
GCGCAGCAGGCGAGAAAACUUCACACUGUGCGAAAGCACGAUGAGGGAAUCCCAAGUGCUUGCACGUAAGUGUAAGCUGUUUCUCUGUCUAAAACGCAGAGAGAGUAAGGGCUGGGUAAGACGGGUGCCAGCCGCCGCGGUAAUACCUGCAGCUCAAGUGGUGACCGUUAUUAUUGGGGCCUAAAAACGUCCGUAGCCGGUUUAAUAAAUGCCUGGGUAAAUUGUGUAGCUUAACUAUACGAAUUCCGGGUAGACU